ACAGUGAAGCAAUACCGAACUAUACACAUAAAUAACAAGAAUAUCUGAGUACAACAAAUAUGAAACUGUUUCAAUAAUAGCAACAAUUCUGCAAGAAAUAUUUAAAAUAUUGUCAAAAACUACAGUUUGAAAAUUUCAAGAAAACUUAAAAAUGUCUGACUGCGACAUUGAGGACCCUAGCACACAGCAUGAGCCAUAUUAUUUAGUAGAGGAAAUGAAAUUUUUAAGGCCUCAUGUACUUAACGAAGUCGGAAAUGAACAAGAAAAUCAGGAUGACAGGUCAACAAAAGUGGAAACAAAUGAAGUUGAAUCGUUAGCCGAUAUUGCCGGAAUAAAUGGAACAGGCAACUCUGGAGCCAAGCAAAAUGAAUAUCUCGGCUAAUAGCGUGAUGUUAAAGAGAAAAUUCAAUAGAAACAAAAUCAGCUACAAAUUAGAAGUAAAUCAAGUAAAUUGUUAAUAUAUAUUUUGCCUUCUUCGAUUAAUAAAAUUUUGUUUGCAAUUUA
rnacentral:lncRNA from 1 species